rnacentral:rRNA from 1 species
AAUUUCAUUCUUUUUUGAGAGUUUGAUCCUGGCUCAGGAUGAACGUUGGCGGCGUGCCUUAAGCAUGCAAAUCAAGGGGUCCGGCGCAAGCCGGAUACCGGUGGACGGGUGAGUAAUACGUGGGAAUCUACCUAGAAGUUGGACAUAGCCCGGCGAAAGCCGGGGUAAUUUCCAAUGUGGUACGUACCAUUAUGGUACAUACCAAAGCCGCAAGGCGCUUUUAGAUGAGCCUGCGUCCUAUCAGCUAGUUGGUGGGGUAAUGGCCUACCAAGGCGACGACGGGUAGCUGGACUGAGAGGUCGGUCAGCCACAAUGGGACUGCGACCAAAACUGAUCGCCUGGUUGAGUAAUCGACCAGUAAAACCUAACUAAUAACGGUGGAGUCCGAAAAAACUACUUGACUUCGGGUAACCUUUGGGUUACGUUAGAAGUAUGUACGUUUGGGAUAAUACCGUGGGAAGUUUUAGAAGAAUUAAUCAAACAACGCUAGCCUACAUUGCAGGGUUUUUAGAUGGUGAUGGGUGUAUUAAAGCAAGGAUAGAUAGACAAUCAAACAAUAGGUUUGGUUGGAGAACUAGAAUUGCAGUAAGUUUUACCCAGCACACUAGAAAUCGGCAUGUACUAGAUUGGAUAUAUAACCCAACUGAAAAAUGGUUCUAUAGCUGAUUAUUCAACAAAGCAUUUAUCAGAGUAUGUAAUUACUGAUAGUAAAUUUGUUGAGCGUUUGUUACAAAGUUUAAGACCUUAUGUAGUGAAUAAAUCCAAACAAUUAGAUUUAGCUUUACAGCUUCUAAUUUUAAAAGAUCGUUGCAAAAAUGAGCGUUCUUUUAAUAGAGGUUUGGAAUUAGCGCUACAAAUUAGAGGGCUUAAUCAUUAUCGUAAAAAACACUUUUCUAAUAACCCCGUAACGACUUACAUGGAAGGUACCAGAUAAUCUGGAAAAUAUACUUCCAUUAUAUGUUGGCUCCGGCGUAGCCGGAUGAAGAUAUAGUCUGAUACUUCGAGGAAUCGGAGAAAACACUAUGACGGCCCAUACACCUACGGGUGGCAGCAACUGGGAAUAUUCGACAAUGGACGAAAGUCUGAUCGAGCGACGCCGCGUGGAGGAUGAAGGCCCUCGGGUUGUAAACUCCUUUUAUCUGGGAAGAUUAUGACGGUACCAGAUGAAUAAGCACUUGAUAACUACGUGCCAGAAGCCUCGGUAAUGCGUAGAGUUCAAACGUUAUCCUGAUUUAUUGGGCUUAAAGAGUUUCGUAGGCUGUUGAGCGCAUUUUAUUUGAAAUCCCUCGACUCAAUCGAGGAUUUAGAUAAAAUAUGGCUCAACUUGAUGGUUGGAGAGGGUGCUGGAACCGAUGGUGUAGCAGUGAAAUGCGUUGAUAUCAUCGGGAACACCAAUGGCGUAGGCAGGCACCUAGCCAACUUAUGACGCUGAGGCACGAAAGCUGGGGGAGCGAAACAGAUUAGAGACCUGUGUAGUCCCAGCCGUAAACUAUCUCUGCUAGAUACCCGACUUUUGUUGGGUGUCGCAGCUAACGCGUUAAGCAGAGCGCCUGGGGAGUACGAGCGCAAGCUUAAAACUCAAAGUAAUUGACGGGGACCCGCACAAGCAGUGGAGCGUGUUGUUUAAUUCGAUACGAAACGAAAAACCUCACCAGGGUUUGACAUGCUAGAGUUCCAUGCCGUAGAAAUACGGCAAAUGCGCAAGCAGGCUAGCACAGAUGCUGCAUGGCUAAUCCCGAUACAAUCGGGAUGAUGGCCGGUCCGAUAGCAAUAUCGUGACAAAAAUAACCAACCCAAAACGGUGAAGCCCUACUUGAUUUUCGGUUUACUUUCGGGUAAUCUGGAAUUAAGGGGUAAUACCGUGGGAAGCAAGUUUUCUUUUAAAACAGCCGAAGAUUUCUAUAUUUUAGGUCUUUGGCUUGCAGAUGGUUAUUGGUGGUCAAGCUCCAUUGGUUUAACUUCAGUUAACUCAAUUCUUAUUAGUAAAUUUUCAAAGUUUCUUUUAAGGGUGGCUCCUAGUCAUUCUUUGAAACAGAGAAUUUAUUCAGUAAGGAUUGGAGAUAAACGUAAACAAGAAGCUAUACAGGUUUAUAUUAAUAAUAGACCAUUAACGCGAUUGUUUAUGUCUUUUAAAACUGGGGAUUUGUAUGUCCCAAAGUCUUACCUUUUAGCUUAUUUAGCUGGAAGAAUAGAUGGCGAUGGACAUAUUGAUACUAAACAUAGAUCAGGUAUUCGAAUUGCUUAUUCAAGCUUUGAGGAUGCAGUAAGAGAUCAAAAACUGUUUGGUAAUACCAAUGUGAGUUUAUAUCAAUAUAAGGCUGCAAGGACAUUUGUUCUUUAUUUAAAGAAAAGUUACAGAGAACUAAUUUCGGAAGAUUUAAAAAAAUAUUCUGUAAAACUUGCCCCGUAGAGACUGAUAUCCAUUAAGAAUUGGAUUGAGAAUAGCUUUUUAAUAGUUAUUCAGACGGUUGGUACCCCUCUGGGGUAAAGGUAUAGUCCAUACCACUAGAAAUAGUUGGAGCAAUAUGGUCGUCAGCUCGUGGCGUGAGCUGUUACAUUAAGUUGUGAAACGAGCGCAACCCUCACCGUAUGUUAAAUAAUUCAUGCGGAACAGCUCCGACGUAUGUCGGAGAGGAAGGCGAGGAUGACGUCAAGUCAGCACGGUUCUUACGCCCUGGGCUACACACACACUACAAU